GGAGGAUCCAAGCGUUAUCCGGAAUUACUGGGCGUAAAGAGUUGCGUAGGUGGCAUAGUAAGCAGAUAGUGAAAGCGUGGGGCUCAACCUCAUAUCCAUUAUUUGAACUGCUAAGCUAGAGGGCGAGAGAGGUAGCUAGAAUUCCUUGUGUAGGAGUGAAAUCCGUAGAUAUAAGGAGGAAUACCGAUGGCGUAGGCAGGCUACUGGCUCGUCCCUGACACUAAGGCACGAAAGCGUGGGGAGAGACCGGGAUUAGAUACCCCGUUAUUCCACGCCGUAAACGAUGGAUGCUAGCUGUUAUGAGUAUCGACCCUCGUAGUAGCGAAGCUAACGCGUUAAGCAUCCCGCCUGUGGAGUACGAGCGCAAGCUUA
rnacentral:rRNA from 1 species